rnacentral:rRNA from 1 species
AUUGAACGCUGGCGGCAUGCCUUACACAUGCAAGUCGAACGGCAGCAUAGGAGCUUGCCCCUGAUGGCGAGUGGCGAACGGGUGAGUAAUAUAUCGGAACGUGCCCUAGAGUGGGGGAUAACUAGUCGAAAGAUUAGCUAAUACCGCAUACGAUCUACGGAUGAAAGUGGGGGAUCGCAAGACCUCAUGCUCCUGGAGCGGCCGAUAUCUGAUUAGCUAGUUGGUGGGGUAAAAGCCUACCAAGGCGACGAUCAGUAGCUGGUCUGAGAGGACGACCAGCCACACUGGGACUGAGACACGGCCCAGACUCCUACGGGAGGCAGCAGUGGGGAAUUUUGGACAAUGGGGGCAACCCUGAUCCAGCAAUGCCGCGUGAGUGAAGAAGGCCUUCGGGUUGUAAAGCUCUUUUGUCAGGGAAGAAGCGGUUUUGGAUAAUACCCAGAGCUAAUGACGGUACCUGAAGAAUAAGCACCGGCUAACUACGUGCCAGCCGCCGCCGUAAAAC